rnacentral:lncRNA from 1 species
UACUUAAAUCUUAAGUCAAAUCUUAAUUAAAUCCUAAAUUAGAAUUUGAUUAAGAUUUGAUUUAGGAUUUUAACUAUAAGUAAAGUAAAUUUUGGUUGAAAUUUAUUUAUGAUAUAUUUUAGAUUUUAUUUUAAUACAUCUUUUAAAUUUCUUUAGAAUUUUUUCAUACUUCUAUCAUAAUUUCUUUGAAGUUUCUUUGGAUUGAUUAAAGCUUGAUUAGUAUAUUUAAGAUUUAUUUAGAAUUAUUUAGGAUUCUAUAAGAAUUAAAAUCUUAUUGAUGUAAUAUUUCUUCUACCUUUUAUAGCCAAGUACUCAAUGCAUUCUCAAGCAAG